rnacentral:rRNA from 1 species
UACGUAGGCAGCAAGCGUUGUUCGGAGUUACUGGGCGUAAAGGGUGUGUAGGCGGUUGUUUAAGUUUGGUGUGAAAUCUCCCGGCUUAACUGGGAGGGUGCGCCGAAAACUGGAAGGCUUGAGUAUGGGAGAGGUAAGCGGAAUUCCCGGUGUAGCGGUGAAAUGCGUAGAUAUUGGGAGGAACACCAGUGGCGAAGGCGGCCACCUGGACCGGGUUCUGACGCUGAUGCGCGAAAGCGUGGGUAGCAAACAGG